UUUGGUUCAUAACCCCUGAUUAUCCUCUAAGGCUUUUUCUAGUACAUGCUUUCAUUGCCAUGACGUUAGUCAUUUACUGGUGAUAUCCUGAGGCUGUGGAUGCCAGCAGUAAUUUUAUCAAGUCAACGUUAGCUUUUUGAAAGUACUUCCAAACACAGACUGUGUCAAAAUCAACAAAAGAUAUGAAAAUGAAAGCCCAGGUUAUUGUUGUCACACAUUGUGAUAUGUUUGUUCAUAUAAAUGGUAAAGAUUUUUAAGUGACCAAGUUUUUUUUUAAAUUUGUAUAACCAGCAUACACUAUUAUAUGUAUUUCCCAACACAUGAUACUCAGGCAAUUUUUGUUGUAAUAAAGGAAAAAAGACUUGGUCUGUGACAAAGAAGAAGACAAAAUUAUCAUUCAGAAAAAAAGUAUAUUUUGAUUAGAGCUUUUAGUUUAGCAUAAUAUUGAAUUCACUGGCUAUUUGAUGCAGUCCCAGAUGGAGAGAAGAGACCGUAUGAAAGGGCUUGAACAAUGCCAGAUAAUUACCAUGUUUCUUUUGUUGCUCUGUUCUCUGCUACUGAAGAAGAAGACUAAUUGUUUUGGGCAAACAUCAACACAUUCCUUGUCCUUGUGAGGCAUCUGUCAUGUGAGCCGGUGAGCCUAAUAAAAUGAAAUAUGGACAAUCAGGAGCUACUCAGACAAUUAACCAGACAUGGACUGCACACUCAAACUAGUUGUAGUAACACAGUGCUUUACGCUUCCCCACAUAUUCUCUCAUAUGCAUGUAGUAACAUUGUAACAGAAUGUAAAUUUUCAAACAAGGUAAAGGUCUUUGUCAUGUUGCACAUAUAUUAAUGUUCCAUGCCAUAUGAAUCUGAUUAAUCAGGUCUAAAUAUUUGUUCGUCCAAUAUUUGGAUUCAUGACCCAACACCCAAAACAGCUUCAGCAAAUGAAUCAAGAUAAACAUUACCUGCUUAACCAUCAUCAUCUCAGCGUUGUAUCGAGGCUCUGGCGUUGCUAUAGACAGUAAAACAGGUACCCACGAAAGCAGCUGAAUAUGACAUUUACAGAUAUAAUCACUUACUCCAAAACAGUUUGGGGUACUUCAUUGUUUUAAAAUGUAAAAGUCACACCUCUGCUCCUCCAUCACCGUCUGGUACGCUGCAGCCACAGCCAAGGACAAAGGCACGCUGCGGUGUGUCAUCCGCUCUGCAGAGAGGGUAAUCAGCUGCUCUUAUUUUAAUUUAAUUUGUUAUAGUCUAUUAGAUUAGAAAUUAAAUGAACUAUUCUCUGAACUGUGUUUAUUUGUCUUACUGUCCAAUGCUAUACAUCACCCGCCAUGUCAAAUUUCUUGUAUGUUCAAUAUAGUUUGACAAUAAAUGUUUCAAACGUAGUAUUUUAACUCAAUUCAUCCAGGAAAAGUUUAGAUAGUGUAGCAAAAUGUUCCCAGUCGAUGUUUUAUUAUACAUUGCAUUUUUGGAAGGCAAUUUGCCGCUGUUUAUUCAGUUUUGCGUGUGUACAGAAUUGUACUGCUGCGGAUGUUUCUAACUCCUCUAUAUAGAUAGAUCCCCAUUUACAAUUUUUAUGUGAAAUCCAUGAUCCAAGAAGAACAGCCCAGUGACAAAGCACUGUCCUGCUGAAGCCCCCCCCCCUUGCAGUAAUCACAUUAAGUGAAGCCAGCAACAUGUGUAGGAAUUAACGGGACCUAGCCGGAUAAUCCAGCCAUAGAAACAUGAUCCCACCAACCACAGCGCUCUGCAAGAAGGUGAAACAGUGGGCCUCUCUGAGUCACAAGUCUGAUUGACUGUUCCCCAGCAGUAAGUUUGCUCCCACUCAGUGAUGUGAGAGAACCGGGACACCAGUUCCAAGAUGAAUCUUUUAUUCAGUACUUAAACAUCAUGUUCCGCACUUUGCUUUACCAGUUUGUCAGACCAAGCAUCGCUGUGCUCAAAUGAUGCAUCAUUCCCACACAAAGCUCUUUUAGCAGUCCCCAAAAGUCAGCAGUUCAGACAUUUAGAAACAAAUUGUCUGGUUUGAUCGAAUCUACAAUUAUCAAACAUGAACAGACACAUCACUAAUAAAAACGUCUAACAAAAAAAAAAACAAUAUCAAGGGAAACCUUCUGAUGUCAUCUUUCAUCACUUGAUCACGGUCGCUUCUCACACUUCGAAAUGUAGGAAAUUGGACUAGUUGUUCCAUGGCAAACAAGACUGAUAAACAAAAUGUAUUAGUUCAAUGUUAUAUACUGAGAAGAUUCAGUAUUAAAUCAUGCUUUUAGACAAGUAUUAUGUCUUGUUGUCUCAUUGUCUUACCGUCCGAUGUUAUGCACAGACCCCCAUGUCAAAUUCUUUGUAUGUCUAACAUAUUUUGGCUAUGAAUGUUCCUGAUUCCUGAAGUAAAAUAAAGCAGAGGUUACCAAAUCAGUCCCCCAACCGAAGCUGCUCUCAGGUGCGUGAAUAACCAGGACAAAAGCUCAGGUGAGCUUCCUCCUGCUUUUAAAGGCUCUGCCUCUUUACCUGGGUCCUAACAGCGGGCUGCCCUUUUACCUGCCUUGCUACAUAUAUCAUCCACUAUAAAGAAACAUGGAAUAUCUUGCAAAAAACCAAACAUGUUUGCCUGCAAGCUUCUAAAAGAAGAGUUUUAUUUGUUAAUAUUAUCUUGCUUGUAAGUAUCAUAAAUGGACCGAGAUUAUUAUCUGCAAAAAUCCAGAAACCAAAAGAAAAACCCACUGGAUUUAUUCAAGGAAAGCAGUGUGACGAUAACGUGUCAUCCGUACAACUCUCUGGAACCACUGCUGUGAAAAAUACCUUUGACCGCAUCACAAUAACAACCCCCCCCGCAUGAUUCACCAGGCUUUUACUCUGAGACGGCAGCAGUAAGGUAUGUUGGGCUAGCAAAAGCGGUAAAUUAUGAAUAGAGCUCUGCAAAAGGCAAAUGCUUUUUCUAACUGAUGGUGGCUGAGUAUUACUGGGCGAGUGUAGAGAACGUGCCACUGCUCCGCUCUGCAUCACCAGACAUCAUCUGGCUCAAUGACCUGUGAGACGGAGGAACCUCUUCUGCUGCUUUUUAUGCCAGUUUAUGAACCAGUGCCCGCUCUCCUCUCACCCACUCACGAGUUCAUGCAUCCACCCGCUAAAAAUUACCUCCUGAAGACCCCUCCUUUCUUCGGGCUCAAGUGUUGAAGCCGCCAGAACCUGCAACAACAUAACUCCCCCACACCCUUUCCUACAUUCAUACAUCCCUGCAUCUCUCUCCAGUUGAAGAUAUUGAGUGUGUCGUAAAGGCGCAGCACGGAAAAAAUGGAUCGGAGGAUGGAUUGUGGAAUGCUGUGCAGCGGUUAGUGAGAUAAGUAGCAUUUGUGUUUCCUCCUGUGUAUAAUUAUGCUAUUUAUACCCCGGCAAAGGAGGAGACGCUCUGAGCUGGUACACCCAGAUUGGUAUUCUCACUAACGUUGUUUAUCCUCAUGAAAAUGAUAAUAAAACACACCUCUUGCUUUAGGGCUGGUAGAUGUGUUGAAAAUCUAAUAUUCACUCUGCUUCCAUGCCUGUUUAGGCCUCAUCCAUCUCCAAAGAAAUGUCUGGCUAUUGCGCCACUGCGGACAGCAGCUAUUCAGUGUUAGUGAGGCAGCUCACAGCUGGCUUAUUUUUUGCAGUAAGAGAAGUGACACUGAACCAAAGCAGUAACGUCGUGGUCCAUAAAGAGCGGAAAGAUACAAACUGAGGGGAACGGCAGAGUUGGGUUCGAACAUUCCACACUACACGCAGUAAUGGGAUUGAUUACGAAACAUACAUAACCGCAGAUUGUAUGUCAUGGAUCACAAAUUAGAACGUAAUUCACUUCAGUCUAUUUCCCCUUAUUGCACCCAACAGUGAUGAUCAGUGGUAGGAACAAGUUGCAGACAAAUAGCUGCAGGAACUUGGUGAGAUAAAACUGUCUGUGGCACGUUCAGAAUAAAUAUCACGCCUCAUAUAAAUUACUGACAACUGUGCUUACUCCCCCGGACUACUGCGUCAGCGUCCCUCCAUUCAUCACAAGGACAAAUUGGAAAUAUCAUACUUUUCCCCCACGCACGCUAAUAAGCAGGUGACGUGAGUUCUCUGACACUAAAUAAUAAUAGUAUUUAAAUGGAGGAAAUGCAGGAAAAAAUGACUCGCAUAUGAGCAAAUUGUUUUCCUGUGUACAAUUAUGUCAAAUUGCAGGAUCAGUAAACUUGUAGCUGGACACAGCUGGACUUUGAUCAGAAUGUUGCGUUCACACUUUUAUACAUGCCAAAGGCAUACAUGGGGGACAAUUGUAUCAGAACUUGUUCUCAGCACACCUGUUCAGAACAAUCGUAGUUUAGCAUGUUAGCAUAUCAUCAUCACAACAAAAUGCGUUGGGAAAACUGGACAGAAUAGAGGUUCUGCUGACAAUCUUUUAUUUCCCACAAAAAUAGACAGGGAAAUCCUUGGAAACGAAGAGGGACGAACGGGGAAAUGCUCUGGCUAACCUAAUAGAGCUGAGCAAUACUGAAUGCCGGGAAGCAAACAAAAUCCUCUCUUAGCGAGGAAAGGAGACAAUAACAAAGUAGAACUAAAAAUGCUCUGAUUCAACUCCAAGAGCUGCAAAGUCAACACGGCAAAAGCCAAACCAAAAAUCUUUUAUCGAGGAAGGUAUCAAACUACAAGGAAAUCAAAAAAAGAUAAAAAGCUGAAUAGUCCAAAAUGCAAAACCAAAAUCUCUCUUAAAGAGGAAAUUAGAAAAUAAUCAAUCACUAACAAAAGGGCCCUGAAAUAAUUCGAAGAGCUGUGGAGCAAUAAACGGCAUAAGGAAUCUAUAACGAGGUUUGGGGCAUUCAGAACUAUGACGUGGACUUGAUGCUAACAUGAGGCAGGUGUGCAAGACAAAAGGACAUGACACACUGGCACAGGACAAGGGGAGACGCAGACCAUAAGUACACAAGAGAGUGGACACAGGUGGACACAAUCAGGAAUCUGCUAAGACAAUGAGACUGGUGACACAUGAGGAAGGGCAAGGAACCUGAAACGAGAGGGGAGUCAAUUUCCAAAAUAAAACAGAAAGUCACAAAACAAACGUGGAGACAGGACAAAAACCCAACUUGACAAACAGGUGUGACACUUAAGAAUUAGCCUUGAUGCAUGACUUACAUGUGUGUCAAUUCUGUCUCCUACUUGCAAGUGUUAUUUAAUAAAUGUCCUGUUUAAUGAUUUGAGUAAGUAAGAAUCUUUCUAACAGAAUUUGAAUAGUGCUGGAGGUAUUUGGUCAUAAACUAAGGUAUUUGAAGAAAUUACAUUUUGACUCGAUGAUAGCAUGGAUUCAAAUUUAAUACAAGUAAUCCUGAGGUUAACAUGAAUACCCAUAAAAAAAGAGUUUCUCAGCAGUUGCAUACUUGGCACUAUCUCAAAGCUGGAGGACUGAGGUAUGCAGCAACAUUACAGACUCUUUAGAAGACAUUCCAUCAGAAUAGGUACAGUGGUUGUGAUUCUGAUGGAAAGUCUACUUUCCAGCAGAAAGAUGGUGUCAUCGAAGGGAGGAAUGGAUUGGGUACCAUCUCACUGUGAUACAUGCAACCUGGCUGAGUUUCGUGGAAACCCCAGCGUCUCGCUCUGCGCCCGCUGGGGAAGAACACACAGAAAGGGUUCUUAAGUCCUGGUGCUUAGUCUCAUUCCUCUGCCCUUUACCACUUUUGAUAUGUAAUGUUAAUGGAUCAGUUCAACUUGAACACCUUUUUAAAAAAGACAACAUUUCAAGGUUCAAGCGAAAUGAAAGCAAAUUGGUUGUAAAAUGAAACAAACAUUGUAGCAAACACAAUUUAGAGCAAUGAAUGGUGCCUACCCUACAGGUUUAUUUUUGAUUUUUUUUGUUUGUGAUCAACCAGUGCUGCUGCAGAAAACCAAGGCAACUGCAGUUUGCGAGACAGUAGCAAAAACACAAAUUGGAUUUUCUAUUUGCAAUCAGACAGUUAAGCUGCUGAUUAACACCUUUCAUUUCCCUCCUUCACCAAGCUGCAGCUGUUCUCUCUCCCUUCAUUCUUCCAUAAAUAUAUUUAUUUAUCUCUGUCCAUUCUAAAGGAUGACUUUAUCAUUGUCAUACCAGAAGCCUCCAUUCAUAUUAAUAAAAUCUAAUCCAAAUAAUUGCAGCUUACUAUUUUCAAUUGUGAAUAAGCCUCGUUCAGAUUUCCAGAAAGUGUUGAUACUCCGAGCCAAAUGCAAUCGUUACAGUAUCACCACUGGCUGAUUUGUGUGACAAUGGACCAUUUUGUUACAUCUGUUGCCUGUGAUUAAUGAAAGUAACACAAAUCCAUUUAGCAGUUUUCACAGACAAUAUAAAAACACAAGAGGUGGUGUAUCGAGUUCUGGCCAAUAGAUUAUGUAAUUGGAAGAGCAAUAAUUCUUGUUUGGCAAGUGUACAACUGAUUGAAUCAGUUUUCUAUUUGUUUGGUUUCUUUUUAUGUGUCUCCCACAGCUCCAACGCAAUGCAGCUUGUUAUUGUUUCACAAUAAAACAAAUCAAUGGUGUUAAGAUCUCUGUUUUGGUUUUAAUGUGUCUUCAAAUCCAAAAGCUUCCCCUUGGUGAAGCAGUGAAAACAAUGUCCUCAUUUUCUCAUAGUUACUGUAUUUCUUUUUCUUUCUUUUUUGUUUGCUAUAAACAACAAAUUCUGGAACGAGAGCCCUCUUUGUCUUUGUCUAAAAUCUGAAAAAAUUACGUGUGAUUCGCAAACAAUGGCCACUGGACAAAUCUCGGUGAAAGAAAAGCGGAUUAAAUUAAAAAAGUCAAAGGUAAAGGGCAUCUAUGAUCCAAUGUUUGGUGGUUAUUUGAGUCAGGCUUCGACAAGGUGUGUCGAAGAAAAAAGGUUACUAUAUCAAUGCAUUCAGCGUUGUCUGGGCUACCGAUUCACGACUCGUUUUUGUUGUUAUCUUCUAGCUCCGAUGGAAUAAAAUGUACAUAAACACCGAAAACUGUUUUCUGCACUAAUUUGCAUAAACAUUUGCUAACUUGUUGGAGGUGUGUUUAGAGCAUUUUCUAACAGAUAGGUGGAGAUUGUAUCCAUGACUCUAAUUCAAAUGCUGUGACGCAUUAGUAUAUGUGUUCGUGAUGAGUAAGCCUGCACAAUAAUCCUGUUGGAAGUUGGAUGCUCAGUUGUGGAAGUCAGAGUCCUUUAGGGCAAACCUCAGGCAAAACAAACAAGGUGCUUUUGUAAACGGUAACAUUUGCGGUGUGUUUUUUGCAGUGCUGUUGAAGGAAUAAGAUCAGGAAUAAACAAGUGAGGACUUCAAUGUUGUUACACAACGUUUGGCCGAUGUGCCGCUAGCGUUCCAGAAAUCAGUUACUGAUACAUUUUAAAUGAUUGUUUUAUUGUUUUCUUAUGACAGACUUCUUCCAGCCUUUGUGUUAAUAGCUAAUUAUCUUUGCGGCCUUUAGCAUGUAGAUAUGCGUUUGUCAUUGAUCUGCUUAUGUAGCUGUACAAAACAAAUGUAUUAUCUGUCUCAUUAGUCUGUCUUGACUAACGCCUCAUAAAGUCAAUUUGAGCUAUUUCUGUCAAAUAUGAACAUAAUGUAACACCAUCUAUGUGGGCUGAGUUUUGUAUACUGUAGGCUUCUCGGGGUCUGCAGGUUUUCUCAUGGUGACAGAAAUGAGGCAAUAACAAUGUAGAGGGCAAAUACAGCAAUCAGGCUGUUAUAUAUUGAACACACACACACACACACACAUUCUGACAAACUCAAAACCCUUUUGACUGCCUUCCUCACAAUCUAAGCCCUUCACGCACAACCCCAAUUCAUACAUUCAGUGACUCACACACACAGUCGCCAAUCCACACACACUCGGGUUCGUCCAGUGUGAUACGGAUCUGGUGAAGGUCGUGAGAGGGAUCUCAUUCUCAGCAGAGAUGAGCCUGCUGAUAGCGUCAGUCCUUCGGGCAGAUUAAACCCCCUCCCAGUCGUCUCCGUGGUGUCAUAGCUGCAGCACUGAUGCUGCCGCUGAAGCACAUUUAACACAGCGUUGUGUGUGUGUGUGUGUUUGCCUGUGGUUUUGUGAUUCAUUUAACAAAUUACUCAGAUGUGAACCUGGUCCAAAUAUUCUCUACUGGGUUUGUGCUGCCAAGCACAGACAACAGUUUUGUGAGAAGCUCAAUGAAAUAAUUCUGUGACUGUGUUUGCUCACGGCACAAUAAAGCUGGCUGCUGAGGGAGGGGUGAGUUUGUCUCUUACAGUUCACCCCACUCCCAGAGUUCCCCUGACAGCGCAGAAAUCAAGAAAAAUAAUCUGGAAGUUGGAAAAAUGGUUACACCAACAGCCUGAAGGUGAAAAGACACAUGAAAAUGGAAGAUUCUUUGUCUUGUUUGCCGUUCUGAAAGUUAUUGCAUUGUGAAACUUGGUGUUGAAAGGGAGGCCAUUUUUCUUUGUUGUCAUUUCAGAGAUUCAAAUUUGACAGGUUGAUCUAUUUUAAUCACAAAGAUCUUAGGACCCUCAGUGCAUUUCACUACUUUGAAAGUGACAAUAUUCUCUGCAUUCCGCUGGUUGUUGUAUUUUUUGUUGCACCAGAAAAUGUGUUUUGUGCAAGAGUGACUCAAAGCCAAGUUUAAAAAUAAAAUCGUGGUUAGAAGGUGUUCAUUAGAGCUGUUACCAAUGAAAGAUCCCCAACAACCUUUGUCAAUAAUUAGAAUGCUUUCAUUAUGGUGUCAUGCUGACAUGAAUAUUUACAACCAUCCUCCGAUAUUAAGAAAUCGUAAUAUGAGGGAUUUAGUUUAUGAUCCUUUAAAGAAACAUAUUAUGCCCUUUUACCACACGUUAAUAUGCUUCUUUGUGGUCUGACUGAAGGUCUGAAACAUACUUGCAAGGAUAAUUAUUAAGUGCAGAGCUUUUUCAGCCUGCUUGAAACAGCUCUGCUCAUAAUGACCCAUUUGAGGUUUUAAUGCUAAUGAGCCAGCUAACCCCCUACCCCUCCACCCUCCACACUUGCAUGGCAGGCCUCCCCUGUGUCAUUAUGAAUUAUGAAAAAACAAAUAAAUUAAUGUUUGUCCACUAAUACAGGAUAGAAAUGUAAUUAUUGUUUGAUUCCAUUGAUUUAUAGGAGUCAAUAUCGCUUAUAUAAAUGAAUUGGGGAUUGUGUGUAUUUUCCUGUUAGGUACGGGGUAAAGACGUGAAGGGAAUAAGUCUCUGCGCAUCCCCUCACCGCACAUUACUGUCUGUUAGAGACACUCUACAACCACAUUGCUUUGAACCAGAGUCAGACCCUGAACAUAAAGAGGCUCCCCAACAAGUUCCACAAUUUAGGGUUCAACAGGACAUUUCUGAAUGAUUUGCACGAACCCACAGCUUUUUCCCCAAUUCUACCCGGGUUGAAACUUCUUGUGCCUUCUAAUAAAUGUGGAGAAUUGUGUGGACCUGUGUUGGGGAGAGGCACAAGGCGAUGCAAGGGAGACUCCCACUAGGUCUGAUGAUGUUGGCAAACCCCAGAACUUCCAAACGAUUUAUUUUAUUUAGUUGGUAGGGGGGUGAUAGUGGUGGUAAGAGGGUGUUGGGAUAAGUGUUAAGAGGGAUGGCCAUAUGUAAUUUGGCAAAAAUCUUUUUUCCAUUUUCUGCGGCCUGGUUACAAGUGGUCCGGUGAUUGGGGACCUCUGAUUUAAAGCUGUCACGAUCUGACUUGCCUUGGAGGUGAGUUUCAGGCUGGGCGAGCAGGUUUCCCCGGUUACCUGGGCGGAGUCUGGUGGCUGACUGCUGUCACACCUGUCCUGCAUAUCCAAUCGCCAGGAACCCUUCUUAAGGAGCAGCGGGAGCACCAGUCAUCGCCAGAUCGUUUUGCCCUCCUAGUGGUAACUUGGCCAGCUCUCACCAGAGAUAGAUUUUUUCAAGAAAGAGUUAUUUGUGCAUUGACCUUGUCCCAGCCUGCUUCCACAUGAGCCUGACGGAUUCCCUGGCUUCCCCUCUCGCCCUCCGCGGCUCGGGAGAACCCCCUCCAGCCAGCCGGAUCACUACAUCUCCCUCCAGCGUGGCUUCCAUCAAUUGCAUCGCUCCUGCCGCCCGGACCCUUGUGCCUGCCUGCUUCUCCAGCGUCUCCCCCGGCCACGGAUUCAGCGCUGCCUAUUUAUAUCCAUUUGCUGCCGAAAAUUAAAAUCUUUUUUAUCCUCGGAAUCCUGCGUUUAGGUCCUACUUUUGUUUUGGCUGUCACCCCGUGACAAAAGCAAAGAAAUUGAGGCAAGAUACAUGAAGACAAACCUUAUCUAUCCGUGUCCUAAUGUCAAACAGAAUCUGUCUUUAGUACGUCACAUAUAAAUGGAAGUGGACAACAUACCGUUUAUAUUUCAGAAAUUCCACGUUAUUUUAGUUGUGUGACAAAUAAAUAAUUCACUUCUGGGUUACAAACAAUGUUUCAUUGGUGAAUGCUUGGGGCUUUUGGACCCAGCAUAACCUCUUCUCUAUUUCAAGUUUAUUGCUUUUUUACUUCCUGGCUCACAAGGACAUUGAUUGGAUAUGAAUCGAUUUUGUGGUAUUUAUAUUUGAAAUGCAAGGCACUUCUUUCUAUACGUAUACAGUAGCUAGGAAAUUUGUAUGAGAUCAAGCUUCACUAUGGCAAACACAAUGACACUGAUGAGCUACUACCAAUAGUGUAUAUUACAUGGGGUAAAAAAAUAUGGAGGAAUUGAAUCCCAUGACACAUUGUGCGUCAUUUACAAAUACCUUGCAAUUUACACAAACUAUGAAGGUCCAGACAACUUUCUGAAUGUAUCAAUCAGCCUUUCAAAAACGCAUCUCUUAUUACAACUCUAUCCAUUAAAAUGGUUUCUGUGGAAAACAAUAGUCAGAGCCGUUUCAUUACCAAAUAUAUUAAAUAACUAAUUAAUUGACGCCCCCUACAAAAUGAAAAGGGGUCCUAUUGAGGUUUUCAAAUAUCGCUUUAAUGACUAUUGUCAUAUUCCAUGCUAGCAUGUUGCUUUAAGAUUGCUGCUUGACCACUCUGUAAAUACAAAAAUAACUUUAAUUCUAGUUGUUUGUGAAAGCCUAUUAACGCCGUGGAUUGAAUAGGAAUUUUUUGUUCCUGAAAACAUUUAGAAGUAAUUGAAGAAAUCCGCAGCCACCAUUGGAAUGUUAUCCUACAAAUGGUAUUACAGCGUACUAUUAAUACCGAAGGAGCAAAAUCACUUGCAACUAAAAAACAACAAAAUAAAUAGACACUCAGUGAACAGAAGCUACAACACUGCACUUCAAAUAUUUCCGAUUAAAAAUAAUUUGUUUCAACAACCAUCUUGCAGUUUGAAGGCCCCAAGCAAUUUGGGGUACGACAACAAAGUGGCCAGUGUGCUCCUGUAAUGAAUUAGACUGAAAUUUAGCAUGCACACUUUGUUACCAGUUCUAUGCUUAUUUUAGUGAAUAAAACCAUGUAUUGUUCAUUUAGCCACUGGAUCCUCACACAAUUCAGAUGUGAUGAAAACAUAAUGAAGUGUAUAUCAAAAACAAUAAAAAUUUGUAAUUGUAAUUAAUCUCAGAUAUUUGUGUGAAUAAAAGUGAUUAAUUGCAUUGUAAUAUGCAUUGAAUUGCAAUGACAAAGGUAAGGUACGUUUUAAUUAUAUAGAUUUAAAAAAGGAAAUAUAAUCAAAUCCGAUACAAAUCAAAAGCUAUUUACCACUGCCAAUGCGUCAAUGCUUUAUCUAGAAUGUUAGAGAAAAACAAGGUACCCUCCACCAUCGUUCAAACAGGCAAGUCAUUAUUUAAAAAUCAUUUUUUUAUGAAUAGAUACCAGCAAAUACAUGUUUAUUUUAUCAGGGAGCAGCAUGAACAUUAUAAUAAUAACAAUAAUGCAUUUUAUUUGUAACGUUGUAUAUACAAUGUUGCGCUCGUUGGCAUUGAAAUUGGCGCGGAAAACGUCCUGUGUUAUUGGAGAUUUGCGUCACUCCAGUGUCAUUGCCUCUGUUCAUAGACUUUGUAUGUAAUCCCGCGACACAAAAAUUUGCUUCAGAAAAGAUGUAAACAUUGGUGUCUUUUGUGAUAUUCAAAACGUACCAGUGUUGAAUACAUAUCCAUUUAUUGACAUCUUAAUUCAAGUUUGAUAACUGCAGGAUUACCUCAUCAAAUGACCUUCUCUUCCUUUAUGCCAUGAAGAUGUUUGACAUUAGAAUCAAACCAACCAAAGACUGUCAUUGAAAAAGGCCAUUUGGUUGAAAAUUUGAUAUAUUCCCUGAUCUCUGGAUCUUAUUUCUAUUCAUCAGAACCCUUUUAUUUUAAAUAGGCGUCUGGCCUUCACUGAGAAAAAAAAUCCAAUUCUGUCACACUACAGUCUACAUGAGCCCUGUCUGAAGAUUACUACUGAUGCUAAGAAGCGCAUCUUGGAUAGUAAGUUUCCAAGUUAUGCUAAAGGUUACUUACAUGAUCUGCGUUGAUCAUAAUCAUUAGUUCUCGUGAACGUCCAAUGAUAAGACAAUAUUUAAAAAUUGCCGUCGCAAUGAAUGUGGCACGAGUUAUCUCCUUUCCUUUCGUAUAGGAUGGUACAAUGGUUUCUAUGCUAAAGAGGCGAAGUACGGAAGCAUUGAAGCUCCUUUCCUUAGCAUUAGAGGCUUUGAAUAGUUAUUCAAUACUUAUUAUGGCGGCUACUUCUGGGUCAUUUUACUUGGUUAGGAACUUUUCUAAGAAAAUUUCACAAUUUUAAUCCAGCCGCAUUCUCCGGUCUACCAUUCUUCUUGUAAGGCAUUGACGCAUAUACAAAGCACAGACCCCCUCACUGGUGAGAUGGCGACACCCGCUGGUUGUCUUUGACACUCAAUUCUAUAUUACAGAACAGCCAAACAAAAACAACGGUUAUACCACAACUUAAAUAUACAUCUAUCUCACAUCUGCUUUCCAUUGCUCUUUCUAAAUAGUGUCCAUAAUACCUAUUUUUAUACAUGUUGCACAUCAUUUCCAUCAAUUUUUUUUAUUCAGCAUUCAACCAUUCUUGAAUCAGGACUAAUUGGUUUUGAGCGAUGAGCAAACCCACUGCCAAACAAUACCCAUGAAGCCUUAUUAACAGGUGAUCACCUCAUGUGCCAGCGUUUUCAUUUUUGUGUUCUGUAGACAAGGAGAAUCUGACAAGGAAAUCUUUCCUCUGCUUUUGCAAGAAAAGAUCCAAGAAAUAUUGUGACCAAAAAAAGGGUUUCACAGAACAUUUUCUCAGGGGCCCUGAAGGUUACAUCUGAUACUCACUGUUGGAAAAGUAUAGAUCCUGUAUCUUAGAGUAAAGAAUCCAAAAGAUAGUAAUAAGUAGUGAAAUGUCUUUUAUAAAAAUGAACUGAUGAGUAAGUAACAAACUUCUCAAAUAAUAUCACUAAGACGUAACAGGUUGACAACCUGCAGAUUUGAAUGAAAAAAAUGAGAAAGUAAAACGGCAGAAGUGACAAGAGCAGGAAUUGUCAUGUAAUUAUGUUGACAGUAGAAAAAAAAAGGCCCCGGAUAAAAUCUUCCAUCCAUAAAGUUUACUCAUAUUCUUACUCACAUUAAUCAUCUUGUCAGGGUUUAGAUCAAGUACAUUUAUCAUUUAUAAAUGAGUCAGUGAUGGUUCUGUGGUUUUAGGAUUAAUUACUAAUUGGAUCCUGGAGAACAGGCAGGCUGGAAGCUCAGCAUCACAGAGCAAACUGUCAAAGAAGAAGUAUGACUGGAAGAGGUGAGUCUGCGAUGUCGUCUCAACUCUUCGUCCAAUGUUCACAAUCUCAACAUCUUCUGGCUCACAAUCACAAUGUUGUUGGCACUAGCAGAUUAAUAGUUGGAUACUUUUACAGUAAUAUAUUAGUAGCAUAGUAGUCACAUCUGUUUAUUGUCGUCUUUAGCCGUAAGUAAUACCAGGGAAAAUCCUCAUGGGUUCACACUUUUCUGAAUGUUAAAUUUGACAGUGAUUAAUACUAGUGCAUAUUCACUGUACUGUUGGUCCUGGCCAGACACGUCAGUUAGAUCCUAUGUAAAACGAUCAAACUUAAAAGGCCAAGGCUCUACAAGGUCAAUUCCCCACCUUUGUCUUGGGAUUUGUUGUUCAAUUUAUUACUAACUUACCUGUCGAUUUACAAGUUACGAACAGCCACUAUUUAAUUAUCUUAUCACGUUAUUAGCUUUGGCAAGGCAUUGCCAUUCUGUGAAAAAUGUAAUUGAGUAUAUUUGCACUUCAAUUUACAUUUGUCUUAAAUUCUGCCAUUGUCAGGGUUUUCAACAAGAUCCACUUAAACACAAACAGGAGCACUUCCAGUACUGUGGUGCUGUACUAUUUGCAGCCAGAAGCGGUUAAAAAAACACAGCGGAUAACCGCAGAUAACCCUGGUGACAUUGUAUGGGUUAUCAGUACUCACGAAGGUCCUCAAGAGCCAAAGAAGACAUUUUACAAAUGUUUUCUGAGGCCGAGUGGUACUCCUUAACAGUACUUCAUGUGAAAGGGCUACUACUGUGGCAACUACACAUGACAUUAUCUCACAACUACCAUCUUUUGGAUGUGUGAGAGUAUGGAGAAAUACUAUAUACUAAUAAACACAGAAGCCCACAGGUCUUUCACGACAACCUCCUUCAGUCUACACUGUAGCUCAAAGGAAAUGAAGAGGGGAGAUCCAGCGCUGGGUAUGACAACGUUCUGACAGAGGACGCUCGGUCCGUUCCACAGAGACUCAUUAUUUAUGUCUUAGCCAUGUGAAACUAAUUGUAUUCAUCUCCACCUCACAGAAGCCCACAGAGCUGACAUAUCAUUUGAAUUAACAUGGAGACAUUUACAUAUACCUGCCAAAUGCACUGAAGAAAGAUGGACCACUGGUGCGCGCUCAUGCACGAGCGCUUUGAUGGAAAUUUGAAGAAAUUGACCGCUGUUUUCACAGUUAUUGUCCUUUCGUGUACAGCUUAUUGGUUUCGUAGUUUCAAUAUUAAAGCGUACCAUUCACAACUUUCAGUGAUGAAGGGUGAAACGAAUGUGCUAACAAGCAUUCACGUGUGCGGAAAUGUAAUAGACGACCUUAGUGAACAAAGGAAACAAAGCCUCACUAACACUGAAACAACAACUGCCCAAAACCACAUUUCCCAUCCUUUUAUAUUUGGGCUGCUCUCUUGGCCUAUGCAACGUUGUAAUCUAUCAACAUUGUAAUGCAGUGACACAUUCCGCAGUGAAAGCCAUCGCCCCGGUUUUCUCAAACUAAAUUAAACCAGGAAAAUAAUUCAGGAAUCAGGAAACAUUUAUUGCCAAAAUAUGUCAAGCAUACAAGGAAUUUGUCUUUGCGGUUGGUGCGUGACAGUAGACAGUGUAACAAUAGACAACAAGACAGCAGUGCACAAGUAAUAAAAUGAAAUGCUAAUGCAAUGGGUUAGUAGAAUAAGGCUAUGGGUUAGUAUAAAAUAAGAAUAAAGUUGAAGUUAAAAAUUAAAAAUAUUUAAAAAGAUUAAAAAAAAUAAUGCAACAUUGAACAAGUGACAUGUGCAGUAUGAAGGGGAGUGACCAGUGGAAUGUCAGUCAGUGGGGGACCGGGCCCUGUUGAAGAGCCCGACUGCCGACGGGAAGAAACUGUUGGUGUGGCGGGAGGUCUUAGUCCUGAUGGGCCUCAGCCUCCUGCCAGAUGGAAGGGGCACAAACAGGUUUUGUCCGGGGUGAGAGGGGUUGGCUUUUUUUUAGGACGCUUCAGAGACCUGGAAGCGAACAAGUCCUGCAGGGAUGGCAGAUUGCAGCCGAUCAUCCUCUCUGCAGAGCGGAUGAUACGCUGCAGCCUGCCCUUGUCCUUGGCUGUGGCUGCAGCGUACCAGACGGUGAUGGAGGAGCAGAGGAUGGACUCCAUGAUGGCCGUGUAGAAGUGGAACAUCAUCGUCUUUGGUUGAAUUUCUUCAGCUGCCUCAGGAAGAACAACCUCUGCUGAGCCUUCUUGGUGAUGGAGCUGAUGUUCAGCUCCCACUUGAGGUCCUGGGUGAUGAUGGAGCCCAGGAAACAGAAGAAAUCUGUUCCUCCGGAAAUCCACAACCAUCUCCACUGUCUUUAGAGCGUUGAGCUCCAGGAUGUUCUGGCUGCACCAGGACACCAGAUGGCCAGACUUCACCUGUAGGCGGACUCGUCCCCACCAGAGAUCAGUCCAAUGAGGGUGGUGUUAUCCGCAAACUUCAGGAGCCUGACGGACUGGUGGCUGGAGGUGCAGCUGUUGGUGUACAGGGAGAAGAGCAGAGGGGAAAGAACGCAGCCUUGGGGGGAACCGGUGCUGAUGGUCCGGGGGCCUGAGACAUGUUUCCCUAGCUUCACGUGCUGCUUCCUGUCAGACAGGAAGUCUGUGAUCCACUUGCAGGUGGAGUCGGGCACGUGCAGUUGGGAGAGUUUGUCCUGCAGCAGAGACGGGAUGAUGGUGUUGAAGGCAGAGCUGACGUCCACAAACAGGAUCCUGGCGUAGGUUCCUGGGGAGUCCAGAUGCUGGAGGAUGUAGUGGAGGGCCAUGUUGACCGCAUCGUCCACAGACCUGUUGGCUCUGUAGGCGAACUACAGGGGGCAGGAGGGGUCGGUGAGGGACUUAAGGUGGGUCAGGACUAGCCGUUCAAAAGACUUCAUGACUACAGAGGUCAGGGCGACGGGCCUGUAGUCAUUGAGUCCUGUGAUCCUGGGCUUCUUGGGAACAGGGAUGAUGAUGGAGGCCUUGAAGCAGGCUGGUACGUGGCAGGUCUCCAGGGAGGUGUUGAAGAUGUCAGUGAACACCGGAGACAACUGGUCAGCACAAUUCUACAGGAUGUGAGGGGAAACUGAGUCCCCUCACAUUCAGUGCCAAUGUUGGCAAAAAAACUGAUAGACUUGGCAGGUAUGUGUGCACAGUUGUGCCAUAUCUCCUCCAAACUACUGGCCCAGAGCUUCAUCUGAGCAAAGGACGUGACCGGCCAGGAUCACUGAAAAGGGCACAUCAGUCUGAUGCUUGUGGAUAGCUUCAAUUCUAAAGUUAGGAAUGUUAUUGGUGUCAUUGCAGUCACUCUUCUUUGACAUCAUAACCUAAAACAGUAACAGCACACUAGCAUUAUUUGCUAACUUGACAGGUUUACAGACCCUCCAAUGUCAGUGGCUGCUGAGCUCCAAUACACUUGGCCAUGUAAUCAAUUAGCCUCCUUUUUUACUGACAAAAUUCUGAAAAUGCGCUCUCCCAUCUCUAAAUAAUAUCCAUUCAAAAAUCAUAACAUUUCAUUUAAUCAACCAUGAAAGUCUGAAAAACAUUAUACAACAUCUGAACUCUGCUUCCUGCUGCUUAGAUUUUCUUCUAACACAUUUUCUAAAUUAUUUAAAACGGCAUGACCAGUGGUGAUAUUUUACAAAUUGUAAACACAUCCCUUCUCUCAGGCAUCUGCCCACAACCACUAAAAACUGCAGUUAGUAAUCCUCUCCCCAAAAAGGCUAAUUUAGUCUACUCCACAAUGAAAAUAUCCUACUUCCCCUUUUUAUGUAUAUCAAGUAAAUGUUAGAAAAAUAUGAUAACUGGAUCUGCGUCUCAGCCUCCGAAUGAUAUAGUUGUGAUGACAGAUACACAAGUUCUGCUUCAAGGUCAAGGACCUACAUCAUAGUCUCUGAAAUUAUGGCAUAAACACCAGACAUUCAGCAAGGCUUCCAACGUGUGCGUCUGUCAGGUUGAGAUCACACGCACACAAGUUACACAUCAAGUUCUCAGCUGGGGAGUUCUCAGCUGGGAAAAACUGUGGUGUUCAGUAAUACAGUACAGUAAUAUUGCUUAAACUACAGUGACUAAGACAAAAAAAAACGUUUUUGAUGUCCAGUCAGGCUUUACACAGUACGGGAAACUGCCUGUGUUGAGGUUUUCAACGACAUCCACACAGUCAGUUUCAGAACAAGAGUUGAAUUCUGCGUUCGCACCAAAAGCGAAGCCAAUUAUUCGCUUGAGUAGAUUCCAUGCAAGAUUCCAUUCAGUUAAUGCACAGACGCGACUGGUUGCGGAGGAAGCAAAUUUUCAACUGGCGACCUGGAGGUUGCGAAAAGCGAAAGGACUGAAGCGAAUAAAUCGUCGCAAAAUAUUUUUUGCAAAAUAUUUCAACUUUCAUGGGGACAACAAUCCCAUACAAGGGUUUGGUAAAUGCAUUGAACAAAUCAAAAACUGCGUCUGCCAGAGUUUUCUUUUUGGAGCCAAGCACUUUCAGCACUCCGCUUCAAUCACUGUUUUAAAAAAAAAACAGAAAUCUAGGAGUAGUUCUAUGAGUAGUUAUGGAUUCAGGCCUCAGGCCACAGCCAUAUCAAGACAAUUACAAAAUCAGUUUACAGUCACUUGAAUAUAUCAGGAAUUAUACAAUUUAAGUACUGGUCCCUGCAUUCAUUGCCAGUAGAUUGACCACGCCGCUACAAUAGUCCAGUCAAAACGCUGCAGCUCAAAUCCUCACUGAGACCAAGAAAAUGGAUCACAUGAUUCCAGUUCUGAGGUCUUUACAUUGGCUUCCUGUUAAACAAAUAUUUUACGAAGCCCUCACUGGUUUAGGGCCAAAAAACAUGUCUGACUGCUGCUAACUUAUGAACCACCCCGACCCAAACAUGGAGAAGCAGCGUUCAAUUUUGGUGCUUAAAAUAUCUGAAAUGUGCAAUACAAAUAAACUUGCAUUCCCUCUCAACUACAACCCCUCACGCCCUCGUCAUCCCAUGUGUAUCUUUGCCUGGUCUCAAUUGAGAAGCUCGCUGCUUCUCAAUCUACUGACUGGUGCUGCGUGGGGUUGCUGGCGGACGAUCAAAAGCAUCACGUAAAGGACACGGCACCUGCUAUCACAACAGUGGCUAUAUUUGAUAUGAUUAAUUGCUAAAAUCAUCACCUAGAGAAAUCCGUCACUAGACCACAUUGGAGCACGCAACCGAGGCAUUCUUUUUGACUCUGCACUGUCCUUUGAUGCUCAGGUUACCAAAGUUGUGCUUCGCCAAACUGAGCAACGUGAUCUUCAAAACCUGUUCGUAAAAAUGUAUACGAAAAUCUUGAACAUACAAAUUCGUACAUACUGGCAGUGGUUAACCACGCCCCUUGAGUGAAAAACAUGGCGGACCAUGUUGGAUUCUUGAGUGAACGUCUCUCCACCAUGUUUUUGAGGGGGUUAGGUUAGUAUUGUAUUCUUACAAUUUAACAUUGAUUUCUCGUUAAAAAUGCAAUCAUAACAUGUUUAUUUUACAUUGUUAGACUUCACGAAGUAUGUUUACAGGGUGCAGGUCCCCAUUUACUUUGAAUAGGGUGACGUCAUCAGUUGCAGUCCGUAUUUAUUUAGUAUGUAUCACUACGAAUUAGUAUGUUCAAGAUUUUCGUAUACAUUUUUACGAACAGGUUUUGGAGAUCAGGCUGAACUGAGACAUUUUAGGAAAAUCAGGUCAUUAAUCAGGUCAUUCCUCUCACCUGCAGACCUAGAAAGAGUCACCCACGUGCUUAUCUUCUCCAGACUGGACUAUUGCAAUGCACUCUAUUCUGGCGUUAACCGGCGAAACAUUCAGAGACUACAAAUGUUACAGAAUGCUGCUGCCAGGCUUUUAACCCUUACAAAGAGAAGCGACCACAUCACACCUUGCUGCUCUGCACUGGCUACCUGUGAGCUUUAGAAUUGAUUUCAAGAUUUUACUUCUUGUUUUUAAUGCUCUAAACAAUCUUGCUCCUGCUUACAUCAGUGAACUCCUGAGCCCGUAUGAGCCUGAGCUCUUCAGGCAGUGCCUUAUUAACUGUCCCAAGCUCUCGAUUGGUCACUAAAGGUGACUGGGUCUUUGCGAUCAGGGCCCCUAAACAGUGGAACUCCAUUUCUUGCAAACUGAGACAGGCAUAUUCAGUGUCCUUCUUUAAAUCCCUUCUAAAGACUCACGUUUACCAGCUGGCUUAUUUAUGUAUUUUAUGGAUUGUAUUGUAUUUAUUACAAACUGCUUGAUAUUGGAAAACUUGUGUGCGUAUUGUUAAGCACUUUGUAACUUUGUUUUGAAAGGUGAUAUAUAAAUAAAAGUUAUUAUUAUUAUCAUCUACAACCACUAGAUGAUAAGUUACAACCACUGCGCUCUGCUGGACUGAAAAAAUUAGAAAAAAAAAACGCAAAAAAGUGUUAUUUUUUCUUUAAAAAAUGGCACGUCAACAUUUUAGGCACUGUCGUUUGAGAAGUAGUUCACUUGACACAGAGCUGUAAUCUAGGGCUUUACCUGCCACUCUGGCACGAGGGGAUGGAUACACACUGUGCUGGAUAGAGAGCGAUGGAAGCAGAGCAGUAACAGCAUCCUUUGAAGAUUAGAGUGACUGGUGAGCGUAGUGAAUUGCUCUACCCAUGUUUCUCGUGGCAGAGACAGUUAUGGAACAUUUGUCGCCAAUUUCUGACAAAUGUCAAACCUUUUGGUGGAGGAAAAAAAAAAAUCUCUGCCAAGCCCUCCAUUAUAAAAAAGUUUUUUUUUUUUGUUUCCAGUUCAAAAUGUAAUACUAACUAUUUAACUGUUUACUAUGAUAUUUAGGAUGCCACACCCUUCACCGACGUUGAAAUUACAAACCCUGUGCUUUGAUUUGAUAACUUGAUUGAUAAUAUUAUUGUUAAUAAUAAAUAUUAAUAAUAAUAUCAUGGAAAACUGAAUAGCGCAUUGACAAGUCUCCUCUGUGCACACCAACAUAUUGUGACAAGUCACCAGCGCUCUUCUAGUGGCGGGCCGUGCAUCUUCUACCUGGGCCCUGUAUGCCAUUUUACUACAAUUGAAUAAUCUCAGUAAGAAGUGAGUUAUUAUUUGUUCUGAGUAAACACCUCAUAUUCACAUAACACUACAAUUUAAAGUAAAAUAAAAUGUCAAAUGAAGCUGCAAACUCAUGACUACUUCAUGAAAAGAUGCUGCGUAAUUAUUGCAAUGCAUUUGAUUAAAGUCAAUGUAAUAACUUCAAUAACAAGAGCAAGGUCAAGAACCAGUCACAUUAUUUACUAUAAAGCCUGACAAAACACAACUGCAGCACUAAAACACUCAAGAGGACAGGCCAUUCAAAUGUUAUUUAUAUCAUAGGGAACAGUAUUAACUAUAAAAUUACAAAAACACAAAUUAACACGCUACUGCCGAUGUAAAAACCCAAAAGCUGUUUCGCUUACCAAAUGCUGUUAACUAUUCACAGGGAAAGUUCAUCCAUACCACUAAUUACUCAUUACUCAGAUCUGCUAGCUAGUUUUCUAUUUGACAGAAGUCAUGCUGACUGAUCAUGGCCUAUGUUACUGCUGCGUUAAAGCAGACGUUGUUACAGAGGUACUAGUGGCAUGUCAAACAAUAUGCCCAACAUGUCUAACUGAAGAUCUGAUUGAUUGAACGCUCUGACAUUCAACAACAUCAUUGCCACACUUUAACGUACAAAUUCAGUCUAGAGGACCUCGUGCCUCUCUCAAAUAGAGACAUUGGGACUGAAUCUGGUUGGAUAAACACUUGAUACAAGACUGACAAUGAAGAAAGUGUUUCCCUUACCAUUAUAUAUUAUAUCAAAGGGGCCACGUCGGCCGGUCCGUUUGCCCGACUGCUAACCCUCCAUCCCUGCCAGCCGUUCCGCCCCUAGGAGAAACGCUGACGGAACCCUAAUAGCUUUAAACUGCCAUCCACCGUAAGUGCUCUGGACCAGGUGUCAAGGUAUUACAUGUGUUGCUCAAUAGCGCAGGGAUUAGGGAUGAGCAGGAAACCAAAUGGCGGGUGUGGUUUGCUGAGGUACUGUCAGCCAAUCCCUGAGCUCAUGACCUAUGGCGGCUCAAGCUGCGUGUUAGGGUGGUCUCUCUCUCUGUAGCUCGGCAUCCUGACUGGAACUACCAGGUGAAACCCCUUACCAAGCGGCCCUGGAAGCAAUCAGCUGAUUGGCGAAAAAGGGGAAUAAAAGGCUGUGGAAGCCAGGAAGUGCAGGAUGAGCUGGGAGUUGAAGGCGUGCAACUUGCAGAGUGUGGUUUAGUGUCUGUGUUGCCGAUUGUGCUGGUAAUGGUUUGUGGUGGCAUUUUUUUUGUUUCUACUGUUGGACAGUAUGAUUUUGAGUUGGAACCUGCUAUGGAUGUGUUUGGAUUUAUUAUGAAAUAAAUCCCUCUUUUGUUAAAAAUUCCUUCUUUUAUAGUUUAUUUUCAUUUGUUACUCCCCAAGACAUCAGUCGAGGGACGUAACACUGCGUCUCAGCCCAUCCUGGGGCUGAAGGGUAUUGACGUAUGGACAAGAUUGACAAAUAUAACACUGGACUUAUCGGGAGUCCCUGCGUCAGUCGGGCAGCUGAACUGGGUAACGCCAGACUGUCUGGUUCAAUCACAUUGAGCAAAAUAAUGUCAUGUCAAUGUAGCCAGUGAGGAAAUGUCCCUCACGUGAUACCAUAGGUUUAAGCCCCUCCCACUUCCUGGUUCACCAAUUAGUCUGGGUAUAAAGGCUCCAUUUUUACGACACUACAGGAGCAUGCUGUCUUCCCGUGUCGGAGUCUGGUUUUGACAACCCGUUUUGAGCUGGCAUGUAGUUUUUAUUUGUUUUCAUGUUUUAGAAAGAAUAAUUUUCCCUUAGUGACGCUCUGGUUUUUGCCCCAGACCCAGUGCCUCAAGGAGGCCCAAACCAGAGAGUAAGAGUGGAUGUGGCACUGGAGGGAGUGAGGGCCUUGUCCUAGAGCUUGUCCUCCCUCUUUUCCCCUUCUUAGCCCGCUGCAGCCUACGGCCCCAAUAGAAUCAAACUUGUUUAUUGAAACCUUUUCUUUUUAUUCUUUCAUUCCCAGAGUUGGCAGGAAUAAUUACAUUAAUUUUUUCCUACCUUUUUGAUAUUUUAAGAAACUCAAAUAUUGUACUCUGGGGGAAUAUUGUUGGUCUGUUUACACUGGUCAUAUUCCUACGGGACGAUAUCCGCACCUCCGUACCUACCGGUGGUUACAUCAAGGAGGAGGGUUUAGACUAAACAAGACUGUCGUGUCAGCUGAGAUAAGAUGACCGCUCAGGAUAUAAAAUCUGUGUGACGUGUAUGUGCGGUGUCCAGAAGGCCACUCAGUGUAUCAUCAUGAUCAGAUGUAUGUCUCAGGAUAAAGAACAUGACGGUCCUUGUACAAUGAGAUCAUUGUGCGUGCGCAAGACCUUCCUGUUUAUCAUACCUUAUCCCAGUAUAUAUGUGGGGACUGGACCCUUAGAGCAGGCUUAGAGCAUGACUUGUAUGUGUGUCAAAUCUGUCACCUAUUUGCAAACAUUAAAUGUCCUGUUUUUGAUGAUUUUACACCUGUCUAGUAUUGAUUUUUCAAAUAUUAAUAUGUUUGUUUUUGUGACUGCACUGGGUUUUGUUUUACAUGAUGUUAUCAUAUUGAUUUGAUUUUAAUUGAACCACCUAUUUGGAUUUAUUUUGAUGACAGACCUCCAGAGAGGGGGGGGGUCUUCCUCACUGGGCAGACCAGACACAAAUUCCUUUUAAGACUGUCAAACACUGAGAGACAAUCACGUUCCACAAGUGUACUCUGGAAAGAAAAUGUUUUCCGAGACGUUUCUGUGUGGAUUUUACGCAGUGAUGAAAAUGGCAAACAGAUGAUUCAUCAAAACGGACAUUCCUGAUUCCUUCUGUUGUAGUCAAGCCUGGUUAGCUAGCUCAGGACAUGCUAUUAUCAGGAUAGGCUUUAUUGGCCAUGAUGCAUAUGUGAGGAUUGGUGGAGGGGCAUGUAUGAUUAAUAGUAUGAAACUAAAUCAUUGACAUCCAUAGAAGAAUUCACAAAAUGAAUAAAUAACAGGGCACUACCCUAAAAAAAGGGCCUAAUCAAGUCUGAUAAUUGCGGUGGCCCUAAAGUGCAAAACACAACGAGAUUAACUUCUUACGGAAAGGGUAGGGCCUUAUAGCAGAUAGCCGAGGACGGACCCUUCUGAUUGGACUGACGGACUGUCUGUCUUUUAACCCUCUUAAUCCGAAGCCUUUUGCCGGCGACGGAAAGUGACAGCAAUUUGAAUCCUCCAUAACUAUUUGCACAAUCAAAUUCUGAAAGCUGAGAAAAAACGCUUUUAUAGAUAUUCUGUCAAUCAAUAAAUCAGUGGUGGGAGAGCCUGUGAUGAGGGAUGGAAGUGAGCGCAGCAAGAGAACCGCAGCAGAAAGUCACGGAGAGAUGGCGCCGUCUUAAAAGUGACCGGCGUCCGAUUCCUUGGCGUGAGGAAUUGGAUGUGUGGCGGGAGUGCGUGACUGUCUCACUCAAUGCGUGACACUUGAGAGCCCUGUAUCAUUUCCUGUUUAAAAACAGACAGUCCAUCUGUCCAAUCAGAAGGGUCCGUCCUCUGCUAUAAGGCCCUACCCUUUCCGUAAGGAUUUAAUUUCUUUGUGCUUUCCCAUUUGCGUUGUGCCUUCCUAUUUGUCGUGUUUUGUACUUCAGGGCCACCGUACAUAAUUCAUGUUCGCUCAUAAAGAGGACGGAAUUGAUGGUUUAAGUUUAACAUUGGAUUACACUUUCAGCCACCAUCACAGCACAUACGCACAAAAUAAAGACAUGCAGGAAACCUCUCCUGUGCAGAGUUUAUGAACUUCCAACAAUGCUAAUCAGAUCAAUACUAUUUCAAAUCAACAAACUAUUAUACAAUUUCCUUAUACCUAAACAACAAAUAAAAACAUUCAUUUAUUCAUGCAUGUGAAGGGAGAGGACUGUGUGUGUGGUGAACGUAUCGGCUUUACUCAAACCAAACCAGAUCUUAGCUGCCACAAUGAGACAACUAGCAUCACACAGUAACUUGGAAACUAAAGAUCAGCCGCUCUGGAUAGAUACAAGUUUCAAAUACUGGUCUUGUUUGUGGGGAUCAAUUUUGUAAACCAACAGAAUAUAACAACAGCAAAUACUGUGGUUAUUACUCAAGGGCAUUAACACAUGCACAGAAUCACAUACACAGACGAUGUAGCAAAGCUUGGCAGUUCAUAACUAUGCAAUCAAUAACGCAAAAAACAACGACACAUGGUAAUCUAACUUCUGCCCAGACAGAGCCUUACUAAAGCAAGCCCUCUCUAUUCUGGAGAGAGACGUUAACCGGCUCUUUAAAAGACAAAACGCCCGUAAGGCAGCCAGUCCAGACUGUCUCUACCCGCACCCUGAAGAAUUGUGCUCACCAGCCGUCUCCGGUGUUCACUGGCAUCUUCAACACCUCCUUGGGGACAUGCCACGUACCAGCCUGCUUCAAGGCCUCCACCAUCAUCCCUGUCCGCAAGAAGCCCAGGAUCACAGGACUCAAUGACUACAGGCCCGUGACCUCUGUAGUCAUGAAGUCUUUUGAACGGCUUGUCAUGUCCCACCUGAAGACCCUCACGGACCCCUUCCUGGACCCCCUGCAGUUCGGCUAUAGAACCAACAGGUCUGUAUAUGAUGCUGUCAACAUGGCCCUCCACUACAUCCUCCAGCAUCUGGACUUCCCAGGAACCUACGCCAGGAUCCUGUUUGUGGACUUCAGCUCUGCCUUCAACACCAUCAUCCCGUCUCUGCUGCAGGACAAACUCUCCCAGCUGCACGUGCCCGACUCCACCUGCAAGUGGAUCAGACUUCCUGUCUGAUAGGAAGCAGCAUGUGAAGCUGGGGAAACAUGUCUCAGCCUCCCGGACCAUCAGCACCGGUUCCCCCCAAGGCUGUGUUCUUUCCCCUCCGCUCUUCUCCCUGUACACCAACAGCUGCACUUCCUGUCACCAGUCUCCUGAAGUUUGCGGAUGACCCCACCCUCAAUGGACUGAUUCUACAGGUGGGAGUCUGACCAUCUGGUGUCGUGGUGCAGCCAGAACAUCCUGGAGCUCAACGCUCUAAAGACAGUGGAGAUGGUUGUGGAUUUCAGGAAGAACUGAGUCCCACCUUCCCCCAUCACCCUGUGUGACUCCCCCAUCACUAUUGUGGAUUCCUUCCGUUUCCUGUGCUCCAUCAUCACCCAGGACCUCAAAUAAAUGGUAAAUGGACUGUACUUGUGUAGCGCUUUUCUAGUCUUCCGACCACUCAAAGCACUUUAACACUACAUGACAUGACCUCAUUCACCCAUUCAUACACUGAUGACAGGAGAACUAUAGACAGUGACACCUGACCAUCAGUAACUAACAUUCACACAAUGUAGUCGCAGCUACAGGAGCAAUGUUGGGUUAAGUGUCUUGCCCAAGGACACAUCGACAUGCGGGUUAGCAGAGCCUGGGAUCAAAUGGGAGCUGAAGAUCAGCUCCAUCACCAAAAAGGUUCAGCAGAGGUUCCUUCCUGAGGCAGCUGAAGAAAGUCAACCUGUCAGCACUUCUACACAGCCAUCAUGGAGUCCAACCUCUGUUCCUCCAUCACCGUCUGGUACGCUGCAGCCACAGCCAAGGACAAGGGCAGGCUGCAGCGUGUCUGUUGCAAUCUGCCGUCCCUCCAGGACUUGUUCGCUUCUAGGACCCUGAAGCGUCCUAAAAAAAAGCCAACCCCUCUCAAACGGUUUGUGCCCCAUCCAUCUUGCAGGAGGCUGAGGUCCAUCAGGACUAAGACCUCCCGCCACAAAAAGUUUCUUCCCGUCGGCAGUCGGCUCACCAACAGAGCCCAGUCCCCCACUGACUGACUCCACCGGUCAUUUUCUUUCACACUGCACACGUCACUUUCUGUUCGCUGGUGCACUUUAUUUUUAAACAUUUUUAACUAACGUUUAUUCCUUUAUUUUUAAACUUACCCAUAGCCUUAUAUCACUAACCCAUAUCAUUAUAUUUUGUUUUCCUCGUACACUGCUGUCUUGUAGUCCAUUAUCGUACGGUCUGCUGUUACCCACCAACCGCAAAGUCAAAUUCCUUGUAUGUGUCAUUAUGGCAAUAAAUGUUCCCCGAUUCCUGAUUUGUGGGAUUUCCGGUCUGGUUUUCUUCAUACCUCUUAGCCACUUGUAUGUCUGGAUCACUGGCUUGUGCAUCUUCCCAUUCGUUGCUAUCCCACUCACUGUCCUCACUUCUUGGGUUUAGCUCAAUGGCUGCCUUGGUCACACCUGUUCCUGUCUCACACUCCUGGUCUGCAACCCUGGCAGGGAUGGGGUCAACUGGAAACCUGGACAGAGCAUCUGCGUUAGCAUUGCUUUUACCUGGGCGGUACUUGACGCCGUAGUUGAAAGAAGCCAGCUGAGCGACCCAGCAUUGUUCCACAGCACCCAGGCGAGCCGUCUGCAGGUGAGCAACAGGGUUAUUGUCGGUGUAUACUGUGAACUGUGUUCCAGUCAGGUAGUCUCUG
ensembl:lncRNA